ensembl:lncRNA
AAAUAAAUCAGUCUUUUUUGGAUAGCAACAGAUAAAAGACCAUAACAUGAAGUUAAUCAGAAGAAUAAUGAAGAUAGAUGGUAAAAGAGGGUAAAAGCUGCCUGGACCAGUCCCCUUCCUGCUGCCCUGAGGCAGCUCACCCAUCACCAAAAGGUUUUUCCCAUUUCCAAUCUUGUUGGCAGUGUGAAAUGAGCACCUUCCCCACUACUCCCAAAGUUUUUUGGGAAUGGGCUUGAAUAAGCCAAACCUGCCAUGCACAAAAGACCUUUAGGAAGAAGCAAGUGGAAUUUAACCAAGUACAGCACUUCUGCAUGGAGAACAGUGGUAUAUCAGGAGGGGUAGACUGCAGGCACGGUUUGCAUUUGCCUGGUGGAACAGCUCCCAGAAGCUGCUCUGAGGGACUGUUUGGUAUCUUGCCCUAACUAACUUGCACAUUCAUUCAUUAACUCUAUAUGACCCAGAAGCAACCUCUGUUAAUCUCUGUGCUGUCUGUUUCACGUAACUGCUUCAGCACAUCCAUCAUGGUGACAUGAAGUCAUGUUUCUUCCACUUUGUUCUGGCAAACUGCACAACUUUUAGGCUUUAUGUAAUCAAGAGACAUCCUGGUUAAAAUUCUGCAUAGAUUUCCAGGGAUUUCUUACUAUGGUUCCUGAGCAGUAUACUCUUCCAUGUAGAAAUCACUUCUGCAUUGGAUCUGGAGCUCUGCCUGUCCUUUACUCCUUACUGUUUUUAUCCUUGUAUAUUAUCUAUUAGGAGCUGUACUUUCACAGGGAUAUGGUUACAUUUUGUCUGGAUAAGGGAAAAUAUUUGGGGUAUAUACUUUGGCUCCUCAGAGACCUUGCCCAAAAGGGCAAUUGUCAUGCUUGGUACUUUUUGUAUAAUUUACCCUUCAAUACUCUGCUCACAAAGAACUUCUGUAUCAGUAAGCAGAAAAAAAUGAGUCAGAAAAGCAAGACUGCUUUGACUGCAGCUGUAGCUAGGAAAGUUAUAUGGCACAAUCAUCAGCUUUGACUCCAAAUUGACAAUAACAAUAACAACAAAAAAAGACAUUUUCUCACUAUAACAAUACACGAGGGCAGAACAGACCCAGCAUUUUGCACGUUGCCUGAACCUGACCCUGUUAUACACCACUCACACAGAGGCCACUCAAGUUUAUCUAACCAAGUAAAGGAUGCUUGAGUGUUCAGAGCCUGUUUUAUCCUCUCUUUGAGAGUACUGUUACUGUAGUGCUGCUUGGCUAAAUGCCCCCAGUCCAGUGUUGCUGUGCCAGGGUAGGGAAGGGACAGCUUUGACUCCACUCUCUUAGGUAUUGCUGAUAUAGAACUAUCUGCAGAAUACUGCUGUUUUGUGAUGGCUAACAGCUUCCAGGAGAAACACAAAGCCCAUGCUGAGUUAGGCAUUAACACCGUUCCCCCUCUGAUUUUGGAUAUACACAAGGCUGUUUUCCUCCUGUGUGCUGUGCUCAGCUCUGCAUGCAGACCUGGCUCGCCUUGGAUGAGUGCUGGUUUGCUUUUGCAGUUCUGGGACUAGCUGCCUUUAGGGGGCUUCAAUGCGCCCUUGUUCAGACUGGGUACCUACCCCUCCAAAAUGCUGGGCAGUGAAGGAAGCUCUUGGGUUUACACCUGAUAGAUCACUUACACAACUUCUGCAGUGGUAGUAUUGGUAAAUUAUUUGCAGUGUGUUAGCUGGGAAGGUGUCCUAUAGCAAAAGCAGUGAAUUUGUAAAUCUGCACACUGUGCUAAAAAAAACUAUUACGAGCGAAUAAUUGAAAAGAAUGGGUUUGGAAAGGGAAAAAGGGGGGAAAGGAAGGCAAAGGAGGAACCUGUGUUACCAGUAGUCCUGUAAAGCAGUCAGAGAAAAAUUAUAUACUCAAUUUAACAUAAUUUCAGAAAAGACUGGCAGAAAUCAUGAAAGCUUCAGAUGAGGGUGCUGCUUGACAAUGGGAACAAGUUUCCUGUGCAGGACACGCAAUUCAGGGAAGUGCCAGAUAAAAUGCUAUACAAGUUGGGUGAGUGGUAACAGAGUAGAGCCAGUCCUUGGACGAGAGAAAUGUGUGGGUUAUUAAAAAAAGCAGAAAUGAAGCUCUACGUGCUGUUAGUAAAAAAGCUAACUUAGAAAGAGAGAAAGUGUUACAGCACUUGUGCGUUGUGGCACAUGGAAUGAAAUGCAGAGAUAAUGACUGAGAAGUUAAGGACAUGCUCAGGAUUGUUAGAAGUGCAAGACUGGAAGGAAAAAUAACGACAUCGAAGGAAAGAGAUAUUAGGUUGAGCAGCUCACUGAAGGCAGAAGUAGCUCAGUUAGAAGAAGAAAACACUAGAAAAAUAUUUUAGGACAAAUAUUUUAGUAACAGUGACAUUCUUUUAUGAGUUAACCAAGACUAGCCUUCAUUUUGAAGCCUUAAAGUUUUGAAUGCCAUAGUAGCAUUAAUUUGGAAUGAGCAAAGAAAACUAUUAUUAUUUUUAAAUACUUCAAUCUCUGGUAACCCAUUCACAGAUGAUGCUGUUGUAUUGCCUCAAUGGUGCAUCUGUGUUAGGAUAGAUUGAAGAAAGCACUUUUAUCAACCUUCAGAAAAAAAUGGAUCAGUAACUUACAGGUGUGCAGGUUUGCAAGAGCGAGCCAGUCAGCUAGAAGUACAGCUAAAAAUCUGAAGCCAUGUUAAUUGCAAGAAACCUCCUGAAGCUCAUUCAUGAGUCUGGCAACUCAUUCCAGUGCCUCUCUACCCUUAUUGUAAAAAAAUUGUUUUUUAUAUCCAAUCUAAAUUUCCCCUCUUUAGUUUGAAUCAUUUCCCCCUUAUUCUAUCACAACAGAUCAUGCUAAAGAGUCUGUCCUUUCUUCUAGCCUCCCUUUAGCUACUGAAGGGCUUCUAUCAGGUCUCCCCAGAGCCUUCUCUUUUCCAGGCUGAACAUCCCUGCAUCUCUCAGCCUGUUCUUGUAGGGAAAGUGUUAUAUGGACCAAUUUUGUGACCCUCUGCUCUAACAAAUCCAUGUUUCUCCUGUACGGAGGACUCCAUGCUUGGAUGCUGUACUCAAGGUGAGGUCUCACCAGCUCAGGGUAGAGGGCAGGAUCACCUUCCUCACUCUGCUGACCCACAGUUCUUUUGAUGUAGCCCAGGAUACGGUUGGCUUUCUGGUCUGCGAGGGCACAUUGCUGGCUCACAUCCAGCUUUCCAUCCACCACUACCCCAAGUCCUUUGCAGCAGGGCUGUGCUCCAUCCUUACAUUCCCCAGCUUGCACUGAUAGUGGGGGUUGCUGUGAUCCAGGGGCAAGGCCUUGAACUUGGGUUUGUCGAACCUCACGAGGUUCACCUGGUCCCACUGCUCAAUGCUGUCUAGGUCUCUCUGAAUGGUAUCCCAUCACUCAGGCGUGUCAUUCACAAACUUGCUGAGAAUGCACUCAAUCCCACUGUUGGUGUCACUGGUGAAGACAAUGAACAGCACUGGUUCCAGUACUGAUCCCUAAGGAACACCACUCUUUACUGGUGAGGCAUCUUGAGGUGAGAUGCAAGGCCAAUUUCUGAUGGGUGUGACAGGUGAUUGUUGUCUGUACUCAGCACUGGUGGAGGCGCACCUCAGUACUGUGCUCCAUUUUAGGCCCCUCACUGUGUGAAAGACAUUGAGGCUCCAAGCAUGUCCAGAGAAGGGGAAUGAAGCUGUGAGGGGUCUGGAGUACAAAUCUUCUGGGGAGUGACUGAGGGAACUGGGAUUGUUCAUCCAGAGGAGACUCAGGGGAGACCUUAUUGCUCUCUGCAACUGCCUGAAAGGAGGUUGUGGUGAGGUGGGGGUCAAAAUACUCCUAGGUCACAGUGAUAGGAUGGGAGGCAAUUGCCUCAAGCUGUCUUCAGGGUGGAUAUUAGGAACAACUUCUUCUCAGGAAGAGGGGUGAGGAAUUGUCACAGCUGCCCAGGGGGGUGGUGGAGUCACCUGAAGGUGCUCAAGGGGGAUGUGGCACUGAGGGGUGGGUUAGGGGGGUUUUUAUAGGGGGUAUUGGUGGUGGGUGGGUGGUUGCACUGGGUGAUCUUGGAGGUUUCUUCCAGCCUUUUUGAUUCUAGGAUUCUUUGACUCCGUGACAUGAUUCAUGGGCAUGGCGGGGGUGGGUUGGGGUUGGACUAGAUGAUCUUGGAGUCCUUCCAAGCCAUUAAUGAUUCUCUGAUUUAUCAGAAUGCUCAGUAAACUACAGGUGAAUGCAACUACCACAGGGUAACUCGGUAGUACUUGUGAAAUUAUGACUACAUAAACUGGAUGAAAAAGCCUCAUUUCAGUGAUUUCAGCUGAGGGGAGCUAUUGAAUAAAACUGU